rnacentral:rRNA from 1 species
AGAGCGUAAGGUGAAUGCCUUGGCAUCAGGAGCCGAAGAAGGACGCGACAAGCUGCGAUAAGCUGCGGGGAGCUGCAAAUAAGCAUUGAUCCGCAGAUUUCCGAAUGUGGAAACACACACGGUGAAGAAUCGUGUAGCGUAAACUGAAUACAUAGGUUUACGCGGGGAACCCCGGGAACUGAAACAUCUAAGUACCGGGAGGAAGAGAAAUCAACCGAGAUUCCGCGAGUAGUGGCGAGCGAAAGCGGAGGAGGCUAAACCGACAGUAGAAAUACGGUCGGGGUUCGGACUGUUGUAAGCGAGCGGAAGUUAGUCGAAUGGCAUGGGAAGGCCAGCCGGAGGGAGUGAAAGCCUCGUAGGCGAAAACGGAAGCGAGUGAACAGGAUCCAAAGUAUCAGCGGACACGAGAAAUCCGGUGAGAACGUGGGGGGACCACCCUCUAAGCCUAAAUACUACCUGAUGACCGAUAGUGGAGCAGUACUGUGAAGGAAAGGUGAAAAGAACCCCGGGAGGGGAGUGAAAGAGAACCUGAAACCUUAUGCUUACAAGCACACAGAGCCCCGUAUGCGGGUGAUGUGGUACUUUUUGUAGAACGGUCCGGCGAGUUAUGGUAUGCAGCGAGGUUAAGUGAUUCAGUCACGGAGCCGCAGGGAAACCGAGUGUGAACAGCACGUAGAGUUGCAUGUCAUAGACCCGAAACCGGGUGACCUAUCCAUGAGCAGGUUGAAGUCAGGGUAAAGCCUGAUGGAGGACCGAACCGACCCCCGUUGAAAAGUUGGCGGAUGACUUGUGGAUAGCGGAGAAAUUCCAAUCGAACCCGGAUAUAGCUGGUUCUCCCCGAAAUAGCUUUAGGGCUAGCCUCGAAUAUAUUUACCGGAGGUAAAGCACUGAAUGGUCGAGGGGUCGAGAGACUACCAACACCUAUCAAACUAAGAAUACCGGAUAAAUGAGUUCGGGAGUCAGACUACGUGAGAUAAGUCUCGUGGUCAAAAGGGAAACAGCCCAGACCCACAGCUAAGGUCCCCAAUGUAUGCUAAGUGGAAAACGAUGUGACAAUGCUAAGACAACUAGGAUGUUGGCUUAGAAGCAGCCACUCAUUCAAAGAGUGCGUAAUAGCUCACUAGUCGAGUGAUGUUGCGCGGAAAAUUCAACGGGGCUAAGCAUACAACCGAAGCUUGGGCAGUAGAAAUACUGGGUAGGGGAGCGUUCUGUACGGGCAGAAGCAUCAGCGGAAGCAGAUGUGGACUGUACAGAAGUGAGAAUGCCGGAAUGAGUAGCGAGAAUUGUGUGAGAAUCAUAAUGGCCGAAAAUCUAAGGUUUCCGGGGGUAGGGUCGUCCACCCCGGGUUAGCCGGGAGCUAAGGCGAGGCCGCGAGGCGUAGUCGAUGCACAAACGGUAGAGAUUCCGUUGCCGCCAGAUCUUAAGUAACUGACACGAGGGUAGAGUUCAACCCGGCCGAUGGUAGAGCCGGGCGAAAGGGACUGAAGAAUAGUAGGGAAGUGAACGAAGCCAGCGGCGAGAAAAGGUUAUGUAUGAAAUCAGGCGCCCGUACCGCAAACCGACACAGGUAGAUGAGGAGAGGAUCCUAAGGCCAGCGGGAGAAGGGUUGUUAAGGAACUCGGCAUAUUGACCCCGUAACUUCGGAAGAAGGGGUGCCUCCGUAAGGAGGUCGCAGUGAAAAGGCCCAGGCAACUGUUUAUCAAAAACACAGGUUUCUGCAAAAGCGAAAGCUGAAGUAUAGGAGCUGACGCCUGCCCGGUGCUGGAAGGUCAAGGGGAUCGCUUAGCGCAAGCGAAGGCGAGAACUUAAGCCCCAGUAAACGGCGGCCGUAACUAUAACGGUCCUAAGGUAGCGAAAUUCCUUGCCAGGUAAGUUCUGGCCUGCACGAAUGGCGUAACGAUCUGGGCACUGUCUCAACAGCCCGCCCGGCGAAAUUGUAGUACCGGUGAAGAUGCCGGUUUCCUGCGACUAGACGGAAAGACCCCAUGGAGCUUUACUGUAGUCUGAUACUGAAAUUUGGUUCAUUAUGCACAGGAUAGGUGGGAGACAGAGAAACCCGGGCUUUGGCUUGGGCGGAGUCGCCGUUGGGAUACCACUCUUGAUGAACCAAGUUUCUAACCUGCUCCCGUGAUCCGGGAGGGGGACAAUGUCAGAUGGGCAGUUUGACUGGGGCGGUCGCCUCCAAAAGAGUA